AGCGAACGUUAGCGGCGGGCCUAACACAUGCAAGUCGAACGCGAAAGGUCUUCGGACUGAUUAGAGUGGCGCACGGGUGAGUAACACGUAGGUAAUCUACCCUUUGGCGGGGAUAACGUUCCGAAAGGAGCGCUAAUACCGCAUAAGACCACGGAGUCUCCGGACGCUGUGGGAAAAGGUGGCCUCUUUCUUGAAAGCUAUCACCGGAGGAUGAGCCUGCGUCCCAUCAGCUAGUUGGUAAGGUAAUGGCUUACCAAGGCAAAGACGGGUAGCUGGUUUGAGAGAAUGAUCAGCCACACUGGCACUGGAACACGGGCCAGACUCCUACGGGAGGCAGCAGUGAGGAAUAUUGGGCAAUGGGCGAAAGCCUGACCCAGCCACGCCGCGUGAGUGAUGAAGGACCCUC
rnacentral:rRNA from 1 species